rnacentral:rRNA from 1 species
GAUGAACGCUGGCGGCGUGCCUAAUACAUGCAAGUCGAGCGAACAGACGAGGAGCUUGCUCCUCUGACGUUAGCGGCGGACGGGUGAGUAACACGUGGAUAACCUACCUAUAAGACUGGGAUAACUUCGGGAAACCGGAGCUAAUACCGGAUAAUAUAUUGAACCGCAUGGUUCAAUAGUGAAAGACGGUUUUGCUGCCACUUAUAGAUGGAUCCGCGCCGCAUUAGCUAGUUGGUAAGGUAACGGCUUACCAAGGCAACGAUGCGUAGCCGACCUGAGAGGGUGAUCGGCCACAUUGGAACUGAGACACGGUCCAGACUCCUACGGGAGGCAGCAGUAGGGAAUCGUACGCAAUGGGCGAAAGCCUGACGGAGCAACGCCGCGUGAAUGAUGAAGGUCUUCGGAUCGUAAAACUCUGUUAUUAGGGAAGAACAAAUGUGUAAGUAACUAGGCACGUCUUGACGGUACCUCAUCAGAAAGCCACGGCUAACUACGUG